rnacentral:rRNA from 1 species
GACGAACGCUGGCGGCGUGCUUAACACAUGCAAGUCGAACGGAAAGGCCCUGCUUUUGUGGGGUGCUCGAGUGGCGAACGGGUGAGUAACACGUGAGUAACCUGCCCUUGACUUUGGGAUAACUUCAGGAAACUGGGGCUAAUACCGGAUAGGAGCUCCUGCUGCAUGGUGGGGGUUGGAAAGUUUCGGCGGUUGGGGAUGGACUCGCGGCUUAUCAGCUUGUUGGUGGGGUAGUGGCUUACCAAGGCUUUGACGGGUAGCCGGCCUGAGAGGGUGACCGGCCACAUUGGGACUGAGAUACGGCCCAGAAUCCUACGGGAGGCAGCAGGGGGGAAUAUUGCACAAUGGGCGGAAGCCUGAUGCAGCAACGCCGCGUGCGGGAUGACGGCCUUCGGGUUGUAAACCGCUUUCGCCUGUGACGAAGCGGGAGUGACGGUAAUGGGUAAAGAAGCACCGGCUAACUACGUG